rnacentral:rRNA from 1 species
UGAACUAAGCCAUGCGAGUCAUUGUAGCAAUACAAGGCAGACGGCUCAGUAACGCGUAGUCAAUCUACCCUAUGGACGGGAAUAACCUCGGGAAACUGAGAAUAAUGCCCGAUAGAACAUUAUACCUGGAACGGUUUAUGUUUCAAAUGAUUUAUCGCCGUAGGAUGGGACUGCGGCCUAUCAGUUUGUUGGUGAGGUAAUGGCCCACCAAGACUAUUACAGGUACGGGCUCUGAGAGGAGUAGCCCGGAGAUGGGUACUGAGACACGGACCCAGGCCCUAUGGGGCGCAGCAGGCGAGAAAACUUUGCAAUGUGCGAAAGCACGACAAGGUUAAUCCGAGUGGUUUCUGCUAAAGAAACCUUUUGCUAGUCCUAGAAACACUAGUGAAUAAGGGGUGGGCAAGUUCUGGUGUCAGCCGCCGCGGUAAAACCAGCACCUCAAGUGGUCAGGAUGAUUAUUGGGCCUAAAGCAUCCGUAGCCCGUUUUGUAAGUUUUCGGUUAAAUCCAUACGCUCAACGUAUGGGCUGCCGGGAAUACUGCAUAACUAGGAAGUGGGAGAGGUAGACGGUACUCGGUAGGAAGGGGUAAAAUCCUUUGAUCUAUUGAUGACCACCUGUGGCGAAGGCGGUCUACCAGAACACGUUCGACGGUGAGGGAUGAAAGCUGGGGGAGCAAACCGGAUUAGAUACCCGGGUAGUCCCAGCUGUAAACUAUGCAAACUCAGUGAUGCAUUGGCUUGUGGCCAAUGCAGUGCUGCAGGGAAGCCGUUAAGUUUGCCGCCUGGGAAGUACGUACGCAAGUAUGAAACUUAAAGGAAUUGGCGGGGGAGCACCACAAGGGGUGAAGCCUGCGGUUCAAUUGGAGUCAA